CUGUGUACCAAGCUGUGUCAUCACACGCAUUCCCAGGCUGUGCACCAUAGAUUUCAACAGUGAACUUUUCAGCUUUCUAUUAUAUAAAUAUGUUACAGAAGAGAGAGUACCCUUGAGACCUGUGAACUGCUCAGCGAUUACUUCUUUUCAUUUUCAGACUUGUGUGUGUGCCUACAUCUGCUUUGCCCUCCGAUGCUGCAUCCACCACCAUGCUUUACUGCUUUCUUCUCCCUGGCAUUUUAUUAAGAAACUUUUCUGAGAGUACACUGGAUCUUCCCUUCCAAUUUGUUUAGCUGUCAUCACAUCACCAUGCCUGACUGCUCUGCUGAAUUCUUACAGAAUUCUGAGGUCAAAUAAUAACCAGCAGUGCAUGAGGGCUGCCUGCUACCCAGCAGAAGGGAGCCCCAGGAACCAGACGCAGUGCCCAGCCUGCUAUGUACUAGCAGGGCCACAGCUGACAUCUUGCAGCGUCAGCAAGGCUGGCAGAGGGCACUGGGGCUGGCUGGGAUUCCAAGCCAUGGGCCGGGGGAAAUGCUGCUAAGGGCCAUGGAGAUUGCUGGAUGCUCUUCAGAACCCUUCUCAGUAUCUGUCAUGGUCUAUAGGAGAUUCUGCAACUUUCAAGAUCUGUGAACAGACUCAACCUGAGCAGCUUAGAAGACAAUUUUUCCUCUCAACAAAUGAAAGAAACAAGAGAACCUGAAGCAGUGUUCAAUUGUUGUUCAAAAUAUUUCACAUGGAGAUGAGCCUAUUCACUCAUUAUAUGACUAUUCAGUGAAGGCACCGAUGUAAUACAUAUUUUGAAAUGUCAGUGUCAGCAGUGCUUCCUGUUUUCUCCUCUGGUUUUUAUCCUUUGACUUACUCAUGUUUGAAUCCAAGAGUUGUUAGAAGAAACCUGCUGAAAGUGAUUGGAGGCUCCAAUCCGGAGUAUAUUUUAAAUCACUGGAGCCAAAGUCUCUUUAUGCUCAAGCAGAAAACAGUAUAAAGCAACAACCGAGUACAAAGCCUCCCUACAUCAAGCCGUCCUCAUGUGGAGAAUUGCAGCAGCCUUAAGAAUAACUGCUGAGGAAGGAGUUCUGGAUGUGAAAGCUUUGUAAACUGAAAUUCAAGCAUCAACAGCUCUGCAGUCUGCUUCUGGAAUCUUCAAGGAGAAUUAUGAAACAGUGUGCACAAAAGCCUAACUUAUUACUACCAAGAAAUGGAAAAGUUACUACUAGGUACAAAUAUAAGGGAUAAGUAAAUCAAUAUUAAAUCCAAGUUUAUUAAGUGAGUCAUGCUUCAUAGAAGCAUUUCUUCCUAUUUUUUAUUGCUGAGCAUUGCUUAGGAUCCGUCUCAAUUAAAAAUAUCACUGUUGCACAGUAAAAAAAGCCAAAGCUAUUAACUAAUAACGCAAAUGAUAACUUUUACUUCCACCACUUUCCAUUGCAAUAGUACAUUAGGUGUAGAGACAACACACUUCAGGAUUUCAGUAACUUACAUUAAAAAAAAACAAACAACAAACCAAAGAUGUAAUGAAAGUCAAUCUAAUUAUACACAAAAGGAUGAAUACCUACACCAAAGACAAUGUAACCUAUAAUCUAUGUUCUUCCAAAGGAUUUUCACUGAACACAAGCAGAUGAAAAUGAGAUCAGGUAUAAGUCUGUAUAUAUUUCAGUCUGGUAAAUACUGAGAAAUUAGAAUUUUUCUUCGAAAUAAGACUGAACUAUCACAGAAUCAUAGGAUGGCUUGAGUUGGAAAGGACCUUAAAGAUCAUCCAAUUCCAACCACCCAGGAUUAUGACUGAUUUCUUAAGAAAAUCUAAUAAUCUUUUUUCUAAAGUAAGACUGCAAAUAAGAAUCUGAUUCAGAGCUGAACAUGUGGCUCCAGAAAGAAAAGCACUGCUUCAUUUGAGAAACUACACACAGUCACCACGCUACUUUGCAAGCUGCACAGAAAGCAGAGUAUUGGUUUACUCUUAGCACAUAGAGUCCAUGAAAGCUAGAAGUUGCAUUCCUGUCUUUCAGAGGACAGAUCUGAUUCUUCUCAAUAUGAGGUUAAUUCCCACAAAUGAGACUGAUGCACUGCUUAUCUUCAUAUAAUGAUACAAGUAUUCAUCAGAUAAAUUGAUAGUAAUUUAAAUCUAAAGUAAAAAUUAUGUGUGUUAGGACAACUAAGAGUGUUAUGAGAACAAAUACAAGAGCACAGAACAGUAUAAAAAUAACUUAAAAACACAAACAGAACUAGAUCCUUUUUUGUUUUGUGAAGUAUCUCUUGGUGAAGUGAAAGAUGUGGCACAUUUUGAUUUCUGACAAUAGAGCUCAAAUGGAGUGGCAGAUUCUGAAACAUCUGUUUACUGAAAGGCAUUCUAUGUGUCAAGAUAUUACUGAAAUGUUGCAUUAUAAGAAAUUACACACACGCACAAUUGCUUUUGUAUGUACAUGGAUGGCACUUGCACAUAUCUUACUCAGAGAAAAUUCUUCAUUUGUUAAAUUGACACAACUACAGUGAAUUUAUCUCAAUACAUGAAAGGCAUCACUUAACAGUUUGAGCAGCUACUAUUCCAAAUUCAAGCCUGAACUGUGCUUGCCAAUCUACUUUAUUACUGGGUUUUGGCUUUUCUCCACCUGCCAAGAAUGACUGCCUGAGAAGUGGGGAGAGAACUGAAGGCCAAAAAGGAAUUGCCCCACCACUCACAGCAUGAGCAACCCAGGUACACAGAUGUGCACAAAACAUUGCUCACACCUGUGAAGCUGACAGCCAGCUGUCACUUGUACUCAGGUUUAUCUCUCUAGGUCUGUCCAAGGAAUUCAUAUAACAGGGGAAGCUGUGCUCACUGUUAGAAGGCACUCACUGCAAUUAAAAAUUUUUUUUGAGGAUUGAAUAUAAAUAAAUAAAUGGUACCUUCCAACUACUACAUGGUUCCAAGAAGAUGAUGUAAUGUGAUACGCAGGGGAGGAAAUACGGCCCUUACUGCAAAAGAAGAACUAAUGCUCUGUGUGCUCAGGCUGUUUAGGGAAUUUAAAGCAGCUAUGCUCUCUUCCACUCAAAGCAAAUUAUUGAAUAGUUAUUCUGAAUUUGAAAACCACAUUUUCUAUGUGCAUAUUUUCAAGUUAGUCACACUGAUGUACAGACUAACAGGUAGUGUGAAGCCUGAAGUUCAAAGGUAUAUGUACCAGAGUGGCACAGACCAUACACAUUUAGGUGGGUACCAACUUUCAGCAUUCUAAAAGGAACAAGGCAUACAAGCACCUUAAAUUGCAAGGGCAGGCAUUGAGACAAAACCGUCUUAUCCUCUCAAGAUAGCUGGAAUUAUGAAUGACUGAACAAAAUUACAAAGCAAAAUUAACCAAACUGAGCAUUAGAAAUGUAGACAUAUAUCCCUGAAAUUAUCAGUAGUUACUUGUUAAAAUCUUUAUUUGAGAAUCACAUACAUUUUUCACACAUAAUAAUAAAAAUACCUUUUCACUGGACAGUGUUUUCCAGCGCCUGCCUUUGAGUGAUGUUUUUCUCUUCCUGAAGAGUAGUACAGCUGACAUGGGCUCACUGAUUUUAGGCUUUUUUUUUUUUUUUUUUCAGUGCAAAUCUCAACCUUACACUACCUUUCAGAAGGUGUGAUACAGACCAGUCUACAUACUGUUAGUGAUUCUUACAGCCUCUUGAUUGCUCAAGUAAAUGAUUAACAAUUCUAAUAGCAUUAACAGCUGAAAAACAUCUUAUAGUUUGACAAGGAACUCUUAUUGUCUGUCCCCUCAAAUUGUUACUGAAAGGAGAAGAAAUGUACAGGUCAUUUGAAAACAAUUUGAAAAACUGAGAGGUUCCAAAGGUAAAAAUCGAAUGAAGCAAUAUACACUGUUGUUAAGUGGCUCCUAUGUUUCCAAUAUCAUUCAGGCUUAGUUUUGGAAAACAUUGCUCCCUGAACUCAUUGUGAACACUUUUUUGCAUGAAAACUGGGGGAAAAGAAAUGUAGAACUUUGAAUUUUGUAAUCUGCCAUCUUGUCAAGAGGAAGAAAACUUUCUGAAUGCUUUAAAUGGUUUCAUAGUCAAUUAAGCCAGUGAGGUGGGUGAAAUGUUUGAAGAUUCAUGCCUAAAUGUAGUAUAAGCAUCAGCUUUUUAUCACAAAAUGACAACGUGCAUGUUAUCAACAACUUAAAUUGCCUAUAGUUACCUUCAGAGGAUCUUAACUACUGGAAAUCUUCAAGAAUAGAACUAUAUUUAUCUUUUGGCUAAUAAUACUUUUGGCAGUAUUAUUAAGAAAAAAGGUAGAACCAGAAAAAUAGACUUCAUUCUGUAAAACGAACUGCUACUCAGUGAUUUAGACCCAGAAGAAAUGUUAGUUGAAUUACUGGAAGAUAUUGUGAUGUUUAAAAUAGUUAGGGAUGACCAAAGAUGCUAAUCAGGAUGAUGAAAUAAAUUUUAAAUUGUUGAAUAAAUAGGGCCCUGGUAAUAGUUGUCCCUUUUUAUUAGCAGGACAAGGUUAAAAAUUACGAUGUUUUAAUAGUUAGAUGUUAAAAGCCAUAUCCUGCACUAUUACACAUAAAUAGCUUAUGUUACCAUUGACCUUCAUGGGGAGAGGUUAGGUCAUUAGGCCCAGCUCCAAGAAAGUACUUAAGCAUAUGUUAUAAGUUUAACUACCUGCUAAUUGUGCAUUUACUUAAAAUAGGGUAUAUGUUAAAAUUUCAUUAUGAAUACCCAUAGAAUUAAAAAGCUGUUGUAAUCAUUAUCACUCUAUAAUGUUACGCUAUGGUGGGAAUUUCAAAUUUCAUUUGUAUUUUCGGAAUACAAAGAGUAAGUAUAUAGUAUAUUAAUGAGAACCAACAAACAAUACAUCCCUUGACAUGAAAAAUAAAUAUCAUACAUUUAAAGUGUUUUUGUAAAUUCUAAAUUCAGUGCAAGAGCUUAACAUUCAAAAAAUGUGCUGAGCACAAGAGGUACAUUGCACUCUUCAAUAUCAACAUUUACACUACACGUUCUAUGUUUAGUGUUUAAGCUUGUAUGAUCUUUGCUACUAAUGUAUUAAAAACAAGUCUUUUUACAUUAAUGUUGUCAAAAUUGCCUGAUUUAUUUUCAAAUU
ensembl:lncRNA